rnacentral:misc_RNA from 1 species
GAUGAAGAACGUAGUGAAAUGCGACAAGUAAUGUGAAUUGCAGAAUUCCGUGAAUCAUCGAGUCUUUGAACGCACAUUGCGCCCCCUGGUAUUCCGGGGGGCAUGCCUGUCCGAGCGUCAUUGCUGCCCUCAAGCACGGCUUGUGUGUUGGGCCCCCGUCCCCGGUUUCCCCCGGGGACGGGCCCGAAAGGCAGCGGCGGCACCGCGUCCGGUCCUCGAGCGUAUGGGGCUUUGUCACCCGCUCUGUAGGCCCGGCCGGCGCCAGCCGACACCCAACUUUAUUUCUAAGGUUGACCUCGGAUCAGGUAGGGAUACCCGCUGAACUUAAGCAUAUCAAUAAGCGGAGGA